rnacentral:rRNA from 1 species
CAGUGGCGAACGGGUGAGUAACACGUGAGCAACCUGCCCUUCACUUCGGGAUAAGCCUUGGAAACGGGGUCUAAUACCGGAUAGGAGCACCUGCUGCAUGGUGGGUGUUGGAAAGUUUUUCGGUGAGGGAUGGGCUCGCGGCCUAUCAGCUUGUUGGUGGGGUAACGGCCUACCAAGGCGUCGACGGGUAGCCGGCCUGAGAGGGCGACCGGCCACACUGGGACUGAGACACGGCCCAGACUCCUACGGGAGGCAGCAGUGGGGAAUAUUGCACAAUGGGCGAAAGCCUGAUGCAGCGACGCCGCGUGAGGGAUGACGGCCUUCGGGUUGUAAACCUCUUUCAGCAGGGAAGAAGCGCAAGUGACGGUACCUGCAGAAGAAGCGCCGGCUAACUACGUGCCAGCAGCCGCGGUAAUACGUAGGGCGCAAGCGUUGUCCGGAAUUAUUGGGCGUAAAGAGCUCGUAGGCGGUCUGUCGCUGCUGGUGUGAAAUCCCAUGGCUCAACUAUGGGCUUGCAUCGGGUACGGGCAGACUAGAGUGCUGUAGGGGAGACUGGAAUUCCUGGUGUAGCGGUGGAAUGCGCAGAUAUCAGGAGGAACACCGAUGGCGAAGGCAGGUCUCUGGGCAGUCACUGACGCUGAGGAGCGAAAGCAUGGGGAGCGAACAGGAUUAGAUACCCUGGUAGUCCAUGCCGUAAACGUU